GAGCACUGUCGGCAUCAUCGGGCUGGGGCGCAUAGGUGAGGCUCCCACCUGCCCGCUUGCCCGCCCCAGCUCUCACAGCUUGGUUUGCAUCCCUGGCAUCACGUGUCUGAAGGGUGAGAAGACCCACAUGCUGUCAGGGCACUUUGCUUGCAGCAGACAUAUCUCUAGUGAGGGAUACAGCUUUUUAAAACACAGGCAAAUACAUAAAUAAACCGAAGCAGGAUUCCUUAAGAACUCACCAGGUGAUAAAAGCAAGUUGCCUAAGGGUCAGGGGGCUUCAUGAUUCCAGCUCCAUAAAGAACAGAUGAAGACUACAAAUGUUGUGUUGGGGCCGUUAGGAGUGGUUGCCGUGAGAGAGCCCAUUCCCCCAACACCUCCGGCUUGCGUUCUGGAAGGUAUGUGACUCACGAAGCCCUAACUCAGGGGCCAGAGGGCUCAGUGGGCAGAGUUGAUCUGCAGUUCUGUAGAUGAGGCAGAGCCACUUUUCUUCCAGUGGCCCUUAUUUGGAGAAGCCUGGCAGAAGGGCUUGGGCCUAGCCAAGCAGGUAUCUGUUGGUGGUUCUCUGUCAUCCUGCCUGGUGCGGGGGUGCGGGUGAGGGUAGAGAGUGUGGAGAACCUGUCUAGCCAACAAACAGCCCGGCCUUUCACUAGAGAGUUGCUUGGAGGAACCAGCAGCUUUGGGGCAUGUUCUGAGCCUGAAAAUCCAACUGUACAAAUCUGUCUCAGCAGCAGCUUACAUGAAAAUUGUAAGUUUGGGGUGAAGCUGGCAGUUUGGCAGUGCCACCAAAAAGUCAAAUGGGGUCUGAGACUGCAUUCACAGAAGCAGAGGGGACUGCUUGACCAGGCAUCUCCUUUGUGAAAACUCUCUCCAGUUCUCAGAGGUUAGGAAAAACCUGAAUGGCUUUCCAGAUGGCUUGGACCAUGUGAGGACAGCAUCAGCCAGUGACAGCCUCAGGGGAGCUGAGGUGCUGUCUCCAGAUCCCUGGGGCAGUGUGGGCUGGCUGGGGGCUAGUUACAGUGGGGCAGCCAGCCCCCCACCCACUUUGGAGGAGACAGGAGCAGGCAACUCGGGCUGUGCUGAUGAAAAGGAUCUACCCUGAGGGCCGCUGUUCCGGAGAUGCUGGGUGGUGCCCCUACCCUUUGCGGGACUGGGGACGAGACAUGAACUCUCCUUGCUUUAGGCCAGGCCAUUGCUCGGCGUCUGAAACCAUUUGGUGUCCAGAGAUUUCUGUACACAGGGCGCCAGCCCAGGCCUGAGGAAGCAGCGGAAUUCCAGGCAGAGUUUGUGUCUACCCCUGAGCUGGCUGCCCAGUCUGAUUUCAUCGUCGUGGCCUGCUCCUUAACGCCUGCAACUGAGGGACUCUGCAACAAGGACUUCUUCCAGAAGAUGAAGGAAACAGCUGUGUUCAUCAACAUCAGCAGGGGUGACGUCGUAAACCAGGACGACCUGUACCAGGCCUUGGCCAGUGGUAAGAUUGCAGCUGCUGGACUGGAUGUGACGAGCCCAGAACCACUGCCUACAAACCACCCUCUCCUGACCCUGAAGAACUGUGUGAUCCUGCCCCACAUUGGCAGUGCCACCCACAGAACCCGCAACACCAUGUCCUUAUUGGCAGCUAACAACUUGCUGGCUGGCCUGAGAGGGGAGCCGAUGCCUAGUGAACUCAAGCUGUAGCCAAACAGUAGAGAUGGAGGGCCAGGAAGCAAACCGUGCCCUGGUAUUGUCAGACGCACCCAGGCUUGAUUUGGAUCCACAGGCAGAGCCAAGGGAAAGUGUGAUUCUGUGAGGAAACAGUGAUUCUGAUAUAUGUACUUGUCACAUUGGUGUUGGACACACUUGAGCCAAACGUAUGGUAAUUCUAUUAUUAAAUAAUUCUCUG
rnacentral:sRNA from 1 species